AGUUGCGCAUGUUGUAGUUUCACUUCUGAAAUGGUAUUUGUCAUGAAUGCAGUUUAACAUCUAAUGUACCAUUUCCUGCCGUUCAAACCAAAUAUUAACUGUUCGAUAUUGACUUUAAGUUCUUUGUUCUGCUCUAUGAAGUGUUUUUUUCCGAGUUUACUGUAAGUAAACUGAUUGUUUUCUGUUUCCAAGUGGUCGAGCGCUUUUGUUUACAUAAUUUAAUUGAUUUAAGAUGGCGGACCGAUCAGCUGAGUGGCGUAUUUCAUCGAUGUGGAACGAUCUCAGUCGGAUUGGAAUGAGACAAAUCACAGACGAAAAUGAAUUGGAUGAACUGAUUAUUGAUUAUUUCAAUGCAAGACCUAUUGAUUGUGAAGACAGUAGAUUCUAGUUUGGAGGAGGAGACACAUGAUGAACCAAUUACGACGACGACCGUGGCCGUGACACACCCACACCCCCCUGCUCAUGACCAUGAUCUGGAAUCUGGAACUUCAUGAAGAAGAAGUCCUGGUUCCUGUUCAACCAAUUGGCAUAACAUCAUCAGAAGGUGCAAUUGCUGGCCCAGGACCUUCGCAGCCCCCCUCCCAUGCUCCCAGUGAAGCAGAUCCAGAGUCUCUGACUGCUGUGCUCUACAACAACAAAGUGAUGCUGACCAGUGCCCAGUAUUGCUGAAAACGAGGAUGAUGCCUUAGGGGUGACCUUCAUAGAGAACGGGACAGUGACAGCCUUUGUGGUGCCAGAAGAUAAGGGUGUGGAGCAGACACCUUUGCGAAGUUGAAGGGCCUGAAGUGCUUCUGCAAGCUCAAUGAUGGCCUGCCUUGCAACAGCCAGUUCGAAUCAACUGCUUUUGACGACCUGCGUUUGUCUUUUGCUGAUAUGAAAUGAGAGGAGCAUAAUAUUUUUUUUACGCGUUUUUACGUAAUUCAAUGAUUUACUGUUGUAACAUAAAAACAGUCAUAACUUCACUAAAAUAAAAAGCAAACUGUCCACAAAUGGCACCUCUAUGCUGUGGUAUCAGCAUUAUUUGCUUCUAUGCAUUGUCAUCAUGGAAAAUGUGUUCUCAAAGUAAGCAAAACUUUAAAACCUGUUUUCUCUAAAUUUGACACUCGAACCCCUGUUCGCUUUAAAAUGCCAUAACUUUUCACAGAAUGCACCAAUUGCUUUCAAAUAAAGUGCAAAAUGCU